rnacentral:lncRNA from 1 species
CCAGGUAUCCUUUCAGCCCCAUAGGCCCUUCAUCUCCUUUCUCUCCUUUAAUGUCUUUCAUUCCUGGCAGGAUGACAGGAGGUGGUCCUGGGGGCCCAGGGCAUUCCAUCAAUUCCUUUAAAUCCAGGGCUUCCUGGAUGGCCUUGCUCCCCUGUGAAGCCAGCAUCUCCUCUGUCACCAGAGAGACCUUUCAUGCCCAC